GACGAACGCUGGCGGCGUGCUUAACACAUGCAAGUCGAACGGAAAGGCCCUGCUUUUGUGGGGUGCUCGAGUGGCGAACGGGUGAGUAACACGUGAGUAACCUGCCCUUGACUUUGUGAUAACUUCAGGAAACUGGGGCUAAUACCGGAUAGGAGCUCCUGCUGCAUGGUGGGGGUUGGAAAGUUUCGGCGGUUGGGGAUGGACUCGCGGCUUAUCAGCUUGUUGGUGGGGUAGUGGCUUACCAAGGCUUUGACGGGUAGCCGGCCUGAGAGGGUGACCGGCAACAUUGGGACUGAGAUACGGCCCAGACUCCUACGGGAGGCAGCAGUGGGGAAUAUUGCACAAUGGGCGGAAGCCUGAUGCAGCAACGCCGCGUGCGGGAUGACGGCCUUCGGGUUGUAAACCGCUUUCGCCUGUGACGAAGCGUGAGUGACGGUAAUGGGUAAAGAAGCACCGGCUAACUACGUG
rnacentral:rRNA from 1 species